CAGGAGCGCCGCCGCCUCAGCGCGCGUCAGCACAGGCGCCGCCCGGACAGCCCGGCCCGGUCGCCGUCAUGGCGCCGCCGGCCCCGCUGUGUCCUGCAGAUCGGAGGCCCCCAGAGCCGCCACUUCCGCUUCCGGGGCGGGGGCGGGGGCGCGCGGCCGGAAAUGAGCGGAGUGGCGGAGGCGGAAGUGGCCGUGCGGGCUCGGGCAUGCGCGUUGCCGAGGGCGCGGUGGGCGUGAUCAGAUACUCUUGCAGCUCCUAGAGACAGACCUGAGCCCUGCAUCACGUGGCCCUCGGAAACCACGGAGCUGAUUGCUCCCAAGCCAACAGGAGAGCUGCUGCCUGUUCUGCUGCUACUGCUGCUACAGCUGCUUACAAUGGCCUGGUCACCAGUCUUCUCCAUGUAAUAGAGGAUUCCACCACGUGCGCUGUAAAACCCAACCUAACAGAAGGGGGCGGGGGCGGGGCUUGUUAUACUCGAGGAGAGUGUGACACAUUGGGUUGGAAAUCUUAGGAGCCAUCUUCAAGUCUUGCCAGUUAUGGCUCUUAAAUAAGUCAGUGCUGCCUCCAUCAAUGGAUCACCCACCUUUCCCUCCUUGACUGUCUUUUGAGAACAGUUCACUAGUGUAUUGCUGUGGCUAGGAAGAGUGAGUCUGUUUAGAUACUCAAGACUCACAUGUUCCAAAUAUACAUCUCUCAGGAUGUUUGGUAACACAGUUUUCCAAUUUAAAUACAUUUAAACAAAUGUGCUGUAGGGAAUUGUGAAAUAGUGUGUUCUUAGGAUAUUUUAUCACUGACUUUUUCGUAAAUCCAGUAGAUAAGAUCCCGACUUCACACACGCACACGUCUAGCCUCUCUACUGCCCUUCAUUAUUUGUGGGAACUUUUUCCCAGCUAGUGUGUCAAAGUCCUUUGUAAAUUGAUUACAGUGUUUACCAGCCAUGUGGAGGUAGAGAAGUCUAAUUAGGUCAAGGAGGCCGGCUCUGCUGGUGCCUGAAAGCAGAGCUGGGACAAGGCGUCACGGCAGGUCUGUUGUGCUUUCUGGACCACACAUUAAAGGAAAGAACUGGAACAGUGCACAGUUACACGGGAAUUUAUGGUAAAAAUCAUAUCGUUAGAACAAGAUUGAAAUUUGCCAUCAAUACAAGAAAAGAAACAAAACCCAGUGGCUGACAAAGGUAUUCCAUUACUGAGUAAGGGUGGGAUGCAGGUGCUGACUGCACAUGGACUCAUCAGUGUGACACAAAUGAAGGAAGUAGGCCUGAGUAAGACACGGAGUGGGGGGCUUUGAUGGACUAUUGAAGGAACCAAUGUCCAGUCCGAACAUAAAUGCUGUAUUAUUAGAGCAGGCUGAUAGUUGUUUGCACUCCCUGCCUGUUAAAGUUCAGUUGCUAUAUUAAGAAUUUUCAGAUUUCUGCAGAGAAAUGGAUGUGAGGCCAGGAGAUUGGGUGGGAAACCCCUGCUUAGACUACUCUUCCCUCAAAAUCUUCCUGGGGAGGCCUUAGCAAGACGCUCUAGCCCCAGAAUUUGUUCCGACUAUUCGUUUCACUUGUGAUACAAGAGCCACAGAGCAGAGCUGGAGAACUUUUACAGACAAACUGAAGAGAAAAUGUGUAGCACCUCGAACCCAGGACCCUGCUGUUUCCUGGCUGUUGGGGAGCAGCGUGCUCAGAGUCUGUCAGAGCAGUGCACUUCACCGGCCUACUCCAGGCGCUUCUGGAGCACACUUCCUCAGCUCCAGCACAGCUUGGGAUUCCUGUCCCUGGUUAGGAAGAAGAAAGCACUCGAUAUUUACUUUCUUUCCCAGAAAGACACCAUUAUGGAAAAGUAAAGAAAGCAGGCAGCCUGGUCUAAUCCUCUUGUCAACUGAAAACCCAGGUAAAUGGCAUUUUGCUCUCUUCAAAGAGAGAGGACUAGGCUAGUGUUUCAAGUUUCUGGUGACAAGCACUGGUGCACAGUCUGCCUGACGUGAAGACAAUAGUACCAACCACAAGGUGCCCCGGAAGCUACAGGACUUCAUUGUGCUGAUUUGCUCCUGAAACUUGCACUGCAGUCUCCUAAUGAACGUGCCCUUUGGAGACAGGUGGCACUCUGCAAAGUACAAACCUCUCUAAACCUCUUCUUGUGUCAAACUAACAUAUCUUCACGGCUCUGUGACAAUCAAUUGGAGUCGUAAAUGAUGUGAAAGGCUUUGGGAAGACUAUAAUUGAUUGCAACAUUUUUAACUGGUUUGUAAGAGUGCACUUUUCUGGAAAAGGGAUAAAAAGAAUAUUAACACACAGCUGGAGAAAAAUCGUACAUUCGUCGUAGAGGCAAGUCCCUAGCAGGUAAUGAAGAGUUCCAGGGGAGCAAGUCCAGCAGGUGGCAGUGUGGUGAUGUGUAAUCUUUGUCAUGGUGGGGAAUUUGUGUGCAGAACAGAGAGAGGAAAAUAGAGAUCUUAAGCAUUAUAUAAUUACUGUCAGCUUUUCAUGGAAAAGUUGGCACAUGCCACCUAUGGAGGUGUGGAUGAGAAUGUUCCCCAUAGGGUCCAAGUAUGUGAUCACUUGGUCAGUUAAUGUUGCUGUUUGGAGACCGUCAUGAGAGGUGUGGCCUUGCUGGAGGAAGCAUGUCACUGGAGGUGGGCUUUGAGAGUUCAUAGCUUUGGCCCAUUUGAGUUUGUUCCUUUCCACUUCCAGAGUGAGGCUGAAGGUGUGAGGCUCAACCUGCUCUGAUCUCCCCAUCACCAUGCUUCCUACUGUGAUGGACUCUAACCUUCUGGAACCAUAAGCCCAAUAAACUCUUCCUUCUGUAAGUUACCCGGGUCACGGGAUUUUGUCACAGAAACAGCGAAGUAACCAAUACACACCUCUGCAUGUGAUCUCUGCUAGCUUAGAAAUCAGAAUUAUCAGAAAUGUAUGAAUCAGAAAUGUAUGAAAAAAAUCAGAAACGUGUGAAACAGCACAAGGGGGUGUGAAGAAGUCUCGGACGCUUCCACCGUAUUUUGUUAGCACUCUAGUAUUUUUAAGCACAUAUGUAUCUGAUAUUCAAAGAUGAUAGACUUGAAAGUAUUUCGCAAGUAAAAUAACAUUGCAACUAAUAACUGAUUGUUCAGAAAAUGUGGCUGUAAUUUUGUUACUUCAUGAAUGUUUUCUUCUAUGUUGAGAUAUUUAACAAGCUAAGGCUGGUAGCAAAGGAGAACGAACGCUCAUAGACAGCAGCGUGGAAAGGCAGCUUUUCCAACAGGUUCUGAAUGUAUAAAAAGAAAAAUAGAUAAAAGGCCAACCUUUCUUAAAAUAUAAGCCCAAGCAUUCAGUUGCUUGUUACAGAGAUUCAUCAAAAGGUCCAGGUAUUAGGAAAAGUCUGUCUGCAAAGCCAGAAGCUGGCAGCUCUUCCCAAGAUGGUGUCAGACACUACUGCACUACAUUUGUGUAGCUGUGCAUACAUUAUACCCUUCGGCAAGAAAUCUGCACUCUACCCUGUUUUCUUGGGCACCAGGGCCUGACAGAUUUCUCACCCAGCUAAGCAGUCAAAAGUGAUACAAUUUUGACAUGAAAUGUGUGUAUAUUUUGAAAGCCAUUAAACAAGGCUUGUUUGCUUAUAAUUUUCUAAUAAAAUAAAGGGCCUUCUGCAGAAGGCAGUUUUAAAAACACAUCAUAGCAUGUUAAGUGUGUAGGUCUUUCAACAUUUGUUCCAAUUUCCUAGUGACAGACACAGAGUAAUAAGAUUUCCCUAGCAGAUGCUUAGUUCUGGGUCACUCAAGACGGCAAGGCUUAGAGCAAACACUUCCCUCGCCACGUUCCCACUUUCAAGGACCAGCUAUUGCACAUAAUUCAGCUUUGUUUCAUCGAAAAGGGUGAAAUUCGCAAAGUUCAACUUAUUAGAGGUAAUUUGAUAGAAGGUACUGGAAAUGCACCCUAAGCAGCCCACUAUGUCUAAUCUACAAAUCUAAGUCGAUCUCAGCCUGUACGCGCCUGUGGGAAAAUUGUAGCCCAUCAGGAAGGUCAAAGAAUUAGAGGGUUGGAAAUGAAAUUUGAAGACGGUCUAUUUGUACAGGU